UGUUUUAGAUCCGAGAAAAGUGAGCCCCCGACGUAUAUACAGCGUACACGCAAAUGUUGGUCACGCAUAUCAACCAGUACAUCUUCUCAUUGAUACUGCUAUAUCGGGCCUGGAAGUUGUCAUUGAUGUACCGCUAGGUGGCGCUGAAACCACGGAUUCAUUUAUAUCUAUGAAAAUGAUGGAGAAAGAAACAUCAAAGAAUAAGAAAAACUUAACACCCAAAGACUUUUUCGAAGAAGAAGACCGAAAGCGGGCUGUGAGAAAUGAGAACAUGUGCCAUUGUCGGUAUAAAAUGAUGUACAUUCCGCCGGUGAAAGAGUCACCGCCUCAAGACAUCGAUGAAGAAUAUCAUUGCGUGGAUAUUA